CAGAAGGCCGCAAAGGGAAGUAAGCAUGUAUUGAGAUAGCGCUGUAUCAAGAAAAGACUAAUUACACUGAUUGAAAAAAGGUAUCUACUUCUUCUGAGUGCAAUCUACAAAAGUACAGCUGUUCUUACUGGAGAAAAGAGCAUCAUGGAUGGCAGAUCCACAUCAGUGUCUAUCGGGAUAGCCGUGGCAUUUGGCAUCUUAGGGUUGUUCCUGCUGAUUUGUUUGGUUCAGAUGUGCUGCAAAAAACUGAAAUGCUGCAAAAAUUUUAAAAAGCCUUCAGCACAAGACAAAAUUUUGAAGAAAGUUGGCUUGAAGAAAUCCUCAUCUCCAUUUUCGAUCAGCAGCAUUGUUGAGAAGAAAUAAUCACUGUGAAUGUAUUUUUCUAUGCCUGUAAAUAUUGUACAUAAACCCUCAAAGGGAUAGUUUAACAAAAAAUAAAAAUCAUGUCAUCAUUUACUCACCCUUAUGCUAUUCCAGAAAUGUACGAGUUUGUUUUUGUUUUUUUAAUGUACAUGUUCCUCUUUUUUUAUGCAAUUACAGUAAAAGGGAAUUGGAACUUCUAUGCUUUGAAAAGGAAGAUAAAACACCAGAAUGUAUCAUAAAAGCGGUCCAGUCUUUGGAAAUUCUAUUUUUGUUUGACUGACAGACUGAAAUUAAAGUAAAUUUUCACUCAAAAUCUUGAUAUUCUAGCUUUUUUUGCAACACAUGAGAGGAAUUGCUAUGUCCGAUUCGUGAACGAAUCAUUCAGACCAGUUUUGUAAACUGUAUCAGCUGAAUCAUUGAAAUGAUCUGUAUCCAAAAAAAUGAUUUGCUGUCUAAUUAUACAUCACUGCUUUCCUCAUGAGCUCUCAUGAAUGGAUAUCAAGAUUUUCAAUGAACAAUGACUUAAAUUACAGCCUGUUUUCCACAAACAAAGCUAUCGUAUGUCUUCAGAAAACCUGAGGUACAUGAAUAUACCACAAAAGGCAUUUGCACCACUGUUAUGAUAAUUUUAUGGAGCUGUUGCAUCCUUUUUGAUAUGCCAAAGCUCCAAUCCCCAUUCUCUGCAAUUGCAUAGAAAAGAAGGACCAUUACAUUUUUGAAAAUGUAUCCUUUUCUGUUCCACUGAAGAAAGAAAGCCAUAUGGGUUUGGAAUAUCAUGAGGGUAAGUUAAUGAUUACAGAAUUUGUUAUUUUGGGUGAACUAUAUUAUAUACUAUAUUAUAUACCCUAAUAUUCAGGGUAAAAUACAACUUAAUCUAUCUACAAGUGACUCUAUCAAGAACAUCUAACAGAUCUAGUCAAAUACCAAAUCAUUCUGACUUUAUGAUUGUAAUGUAUUUACAGUGAAAGCAUAUAGGACAAAAGAACCACAUUUAGGUUUUUUAUUCUUUCUUUCUUAACAACACUUGAAACUAAAUGUAUUUCCAUGAUAUGAUGUGCAAGUGUCUGCCAAUUUAUUUAUUUUUCAAUUUCUGUAAAACGUGUGAAUCACAGUUCUGAGGUAAAGGUAUCAAUUAGGGAGAUAUUGUAUGAUUCAUAACUGUGGUGAGGUAGAAAGUUUGCUUUCUCACAGUUCGGGAAAAACACUGUUAAUGUUACUGAGACUGAUUAUCCGAUUGUUUCUCUCAUCUUCUAACUCAGUGUUUUGUCUCCUUAUAUCUUAUAUAACUUUUUUUUACUGUUUACGGAAACACAUAAUAGCCUUCUUCUCAAGCUGAACUGUUUUCACAUAACAUAGCUUCAAAUGUCACCAGAUAGCAGUAUACAUAGAAGAGUUGUACUCAAAAUGCUCUUUGGUCCCAGUGGAUAGAUCAUAUCACCAUUGUGAUUUCUUAAUGGCAGUGGAAUUUGUAAGGAAGUGAAGGAAUAUUAUUAACAUUACUUAUAAGAAAGUGCUCAUGAGUGAUACAUUUCCAAUCAAAGCAAAUAGAUGUGGAAGGAUGUCAAGUCAUCUACUGAAUGACGAUAUUUGAUAUACAGGAAAAUGUGCUCACAUUUCCCAACAUUCAUCUAUUGUCUUGUGAAGUGUUAUUGUGGGAUGAGGUGUGUUGCAUUUACAAUAAAUUACUAAAUGAUGGUGUUGAUAUAUAGCCAGUUCUACUGGUAAAUUCAUAAUAUAUGUAAACAUUGUGGUAAUCUGCAUUUGUUAAUUAAGGAAAGGUGCUAUAUGUAAUAUUUUUACUGUACUAAAUCAUAAAAUAUGUCAUUAGAGAAUUAGGAAACAUGCUAAGUUGAAAUACUGGCUUCUCCGAUAACAAUGCUACAGCCAAUAUUUUCAACUUUGAAGUUUCCAUUCCGGGCUGGAAUUUUUGUUUAUAUUUUGGCCUGUGUGAUCCCGCCCACUGCCCACUCACUAAUAGUAUUUCGACACCGCCGGGUUGCCAGAUUUGAACAAGUUUGCAGGCAAACAGCACUGUGUGCUGCAGCCAUGGAAGCUAGCAAAUGAACUGGAUCAGAUUACACCUGACCAAAAAAGCCUCGCCAUCCGUCUAAAAACCACCAUGACCAGAGGUGUAGUAAAACAAGGAUAAAUAUUAGAGAUCCCUUUUAGAAGAUGGAGACAGCUUAAAGCCCAGAAAUCCUUUAAAAUGGAUGCUGUGAUGGCUAAUUUGCAUGUCAACAUUUUGUCAACCCGCAUGAGCUUUGAGUCUGGGGUGGGGCAGGCAACUCUCCAAUAUUUUGAAUUCGGACUGCGGUACCCAUUUCAAACGCUUGUUGUCAAUCUUACAUAUAGCACCUUUAAGGAACUAUUUCUUGAUCUAACCCUUAAAUUUUUAUUUUUAUUUAAUUUUUUUUUUUUUUUGUGUGUAACCUAAUGUAGUUG